rnacentral:rRNA from 1 species
GACGAACGCUGGCGGCAUGCCUAACACAUGCAAGUCGAACGGAGCCGUACCGAGUGAUUCCUUCGGGAUGAACAUGGUACACGCUUAGUGGCGGACGGGUGAGUAACGCGUGAGUAACCUGCCUUCAAGAGGGGGACAACAUUUGGAAACAGAUGCUAAUACCGCAUAUGCCCACAGUGCCGAGUGGCACAGGGGGGAAAGAUUUAUCGCUUGAAGAUGGACUCGCGUCCCAUUAGUUAGUUGGUGAGGUAACGGCUCACCAAGACCGCGAUGGGUGGCCGGACUGAGAGGUUGAACGGCCACACUGGGACUGAGACACGGCCCAGACUCCUACGGGAGGCAGCAGUGGGGAAUAUUGGGCAAUGGGCGAAAGCCUGACCCAGCAAUGCCGCGUGAAUGAAGAAGGUCUUCGGAUUGUAAAAUUCUGUCCUAUGGGAAGAAACAAAUGACGGUACCAUAGGAGGAAGCCCCGGCUAACUACGUGCCAGCCGCCGCAGUAACAC